GGCAAUGGGAUCUCAGUGGUUAGAACAUUGGACUACUGAUCGGAAGGUUGCGAGUUCAAAUCUCAGCAUUGCCA